AACUCUAAAGAUAAGCUAUUUGAAU
rnacentral:tRNA from 1 species